AACGCGAAGAACCUUACCUGGGCUUGAACUACUGGUAGUAAGUCUCUGGAAACAGAGGCUGAUCCGCAAGGAAGCCAGCAGAGGUGCUGCAUGGUUGUCGUCAGCUCGUGUCGUGAGAUGUUGGGUUAAGUCCCGCAACGAGCGCAACCCCUAUCUCAUGUUGCUAAUCCCGCAAGGGAUGCACUUUUGAGAAACUGCCUUCGAUAAGAAGGAGGAAGGUGGGGACGACGUCAAAUCCUCAUGGCCCUUAUGUCCAGGGCUACACACGUGCUACAAUGGUCGGUACAACGGGAAGCAAUACCGUAAGGUGGAGCAAAACCCUGAAAGCCGGCCCCAGUUCAGAUCGUGGGCUGCAACUCGCCCACGUGAAGGCGGAAUCGCUAGUAAUCGCGAAUCAGCAGGUCGCGGUGAAUACGUUCCCGGGCCUUGUA
rnacentral:rRNA from 1 species